rnacentral:tRNA from 1 species
ACCUGGCCAGCUCAGUCAGUAGAGUGUGAGACUGUUGAUCUCAGGGUAGUGAGUUCAAGCCCCACACUGGGUA